GGAUUAGCACAGUGGUAGUGCAGCGGUUUUGUAAACCGAAGGUCGGGAGUUCGAAUCUCUCAUCCGG
rnacentral:tRNA from 1 species